CACUGGGCUGCCUGCAGCGGAGCACGCGAACUUAACCACUCGGCCUCGGGGCCAGCCUCGAAAGUGCAUUUUGAAAGUUAAAGUUGCUAUACCUUCAAUCCACUGUUCUUUACAGCAGUAUUUUUAAGCUCUUUUUCCACUUUGUGAUGGUCGGUUUAGUUAACUUCCAUAAAUCGCCUUAAUUGGACAUAAACUGCUGCAUGUUAAAACAUACACUGAAAGUUAAUGAAGGCAUGAGGGGACUGUGGGAUUCCCUCAGCUCUGUGGAGUUCCCACCUCCCUCCAGACACCUCCCAUUAUCUAAGACCUUUUGUUACUCACAAUGUGAUAUGAGCACCAGCAACAGCGGCAUGUCCUGGAACCUUAUUAGAAUACAGAAUCUCAGGCCCCAAUCUAACACUACUGAAUGAAAAUCUGUAUUUGGACAAGAACCCCAGGUGAUCCACAUGUGUAUUAAAAUUUAAGAUGCAUGCUCUAAGCAACACAUGACUAUCUGGCAUAAGGAUUUAGUGAGAAUGCCAAUAUAUGAAACACUUGCAAUGCUUAAUUUCAUAUAUUAUUAAAUAAAAUUAAAUGUAGCUAGGAGCAUCAGCUAGGCAUAUGGUUGCCCAGAAUAAAAAUACAUUUCUCAGCCCUCCUGCAGGUAGAUGAGGCCAUGUAAUUCAGUCCUGGCUGAUGAAAUUGAGCAGAAGGGAUGUGCUCCAAUUGCAAAUUGAGCCCUUUAUAGGAGAAAGCAUUCCCUCUCCAUUGCCACUCCUGGCUAACUGGAAUUCAGACGUGAUCGUGGGAGCUGGAGCAGCCAUCUUUGGCCACAAGAAGGAAAUGAUGUGUUAAGAGUGACAGAACAACAGGGUAGAAUUUGCAUCCCUGAUGAUUAUGGAGGCACCACCCUAGCCUUAGAAAGAGAAAUGACGCAUUAACUUUGUUUAAACCAUUGCUAAUUUGGGUCUAUGUUACAUUAGCCAAAUCUAUAAUCUACUUAGUGUGGUCAUAAAGCAGGUAACACCAUUGUCCUCUUGGGACAUCUAGGAUUGUUUGUAGGAGACCAGGCUGUGAGGCUAGAACUUUGCCAUUAUGAACGGAACUCUGCCCAGAGAGCAGUACCUUCUUCUCUUUCUCCCCAGUUACAUGUCUCAGCAGAUGCAUUCUUGUGGCUCAGGGCUCACCCUCUGGUCUUCUCCUAGUCCUUUGGCAGACAUAACUCGUUGUAGAGAAGAGGAUGAAAAAGAGCACCUGGAGAUUUUCCCCUAAAGUUUUCAGUUUGAAGGAGAUUGGUCUUUUUUGAGAAAGUUUAAAAUGAUCUCUUAGCCAAUAAAUCCAGAGUUGAAUAGCACUGUGGAUGUGUGACUCACUCAAAUAAUUUCACUUCAUUAGAUGCUUCUUUGGAAAUUUGGAGCUUUGCAUUAUCCCUCUGGUGGAAAGUAGGGAAAUGGCAAGAUAAUUCGUAAGGAAAUUCCAGGAAAUGCCUCUUUUCUAAGUUUUUACCUGUCCCUUGGGGCCCUGGGUGGAGAGAAGGUCAUCUUUUGAUUAAGUUACAUCAAGUCAGACUCAAUUUCUUCACUUGUAAAUGGGGCACGUAUACUCAGGCGGGGCAAGAAUUAUCUUCCUGAGUCACACAGAGGGUUUGAGUGAACUGACCAGCAUCGCAGAAAUAAUAUGUGACAGAGAUGAAGCUUGAACCCAAGCCUCUUGAGACUAAGUGCAAUGCUCCAUCUCAGAUCCAUUCAGUGAGGCUGCCUAAGCUGAAAGAAGCCAGAGGAGCUUGCUGGGAAGUGACUUGACUGGAGUGAAGAGUGGUUGGAUGAAGGCAGACUUGAGAUGAUGCUGAGAUGCUGAGCAGAGCAGAGCUUGAGAUGGUCCUGGGUUGGACCUGGAAAACUGGGACCUCCAAACAAGAACCAGAGAAAUGCCUUAAAAGGCAAGCAGUUCUUGGGAUUCAUCUGAAGGAGAGCUGAAUGGAUAUGAGCGCAUGUAUCCACAAGAACAUCCCUAGCAGAAUUGCUUGUAAUAGUAAUGAAGUGGAAACAGCCUAAAUGUCCAGCAAUGGGGGACUUAAAAAGAAAGCUGGCACAAUCAUACAGGGAAAUAUUGUCUCCAAUCAAAACGAUGAUGAGUUGUUCUUAAUUUUUGGUUUGUGGUCCUUUUUGAAACUCCAAGAACCACAGAUCUUCUCCCUAGUUAAAAGCCGUGUAUUCUUAUACACACAAAUUGCAACCAGAAAUUUCAGAGGGUUUCACAAUUUUCCUGAAGCCAGUCCAUAGGACACUAUGUUAAGAAUCCCGACGUUAGAUGUAUUUUAAUGACCUGGAAAAGUGUUUGUGCACAGCAUAAUUUUUGCAUGAAAAAAAAAACUUUAUGAAAUGGCAGGUAUGAGACGAUAAGAUUUUAUUUAAAAAAUGUAAAUCUCUUUCUACUUAUGCAGAAAAGAAUCUGGAAGUUGCACAAGUCAGAUGCACAGGACAGUGCUCAGAGCUGUGAGGACUCCAGAGGAGGCCAGGUGUAUGGCAAGUGUACCCAAGAGCCCCAUCUUCUGUUGAUGUAGGCCCAGGGGCCUGGCCAUGCCUAAUCCAAGGAACCCUGUCCCUUCUCUGAUAGGGGAGUGCACCCCUGAAAAAUUGCAUGAGCACAGUCACUUCUUCCAUGCGCAGGUUCUUGAGAACCUGCAGAGCUGGCUCUAGAGUAUGACAUUGAGUCCUAGUUGCCAGAGUGACCUUGAAAAAUGGGAGCAUAUCUAAGGGAGGAGAGCAAGGAUGGAGAGGGGGCCAGGGUCCAUGCAAAGGAAGGAUUGGUGAAAGACCCUAGGAGUCUAGCUGGGAGAAGAGAUGACUAAGGAUGGGCAAGGUCAUUGUCUUCAUGUAUUUGAAGGCUGUCCUGGAGAAGAGGGGACACAGUUAUUGUGUAAUAAUUUAAACCAAUGUAUAUUAUGCAAUGUGCCUUGGGCCUUGUGCUAAGAGCUGGAGAAGCAGAUGAUGCAGUUUCUCCUAUGUAAUAGGGAAAGACAGAGGGUUUAACAAACAUCCCAAUAUAGUCUGAUGUGUGCCAUAUAGUAAAGAUAUGUAGGAGAGCUCCAGGAAAAUAAAGGAGCAAAUGAACUACAGUACCUGGGGAAGUGGAUUAACAGAACUUUUCCAGGCUUAGAAAGGUGACACAGAGAAUUCCAGGCGGAAAGAACAACAUAAAUAAGUUCAGAGAUGUGAAAAGUAGAUUACAUAGAGGAGAGAGGAGGCAGAGAGGGCUGGAGAUUUAGGUGGCUUCCGAAGUGUGAAGAUUCUCACCUUCUAUGCUGAAACAUCUGAACCUGUCUCUAUGGGAACCAUAGAAGGUAUCACCUCUCCCCAUCCUGUGAUGGAACUAGGUCCAACAAUGGCAGGUACAACGAGUCAGAACUGCCUUGGGAGAGAAUGACUCUCCAUCAGGCAGAGGCUGGUCAGCCCCUUGUCAGAGGUCAAUCAGAGAGACAACUACCAGAUGCGGCAUUUGACAGGACUUUGCGAUCCCUUCCACCCCAAAGAGUGACUCCAGCCCCAGCUUUUCAGGGAAAUCUAUCUAUUUGUAUGUCUCCUUCUGUAAAUGAAACAGCCUGGAGGUACCAUAUAUUUUUGCUUUUGAAUUUAGCAAACUUUUUAUUAUCCUAAAAGCUGGAAUGAGAAUUCAUCUAUGAAGGGAUCUUCUUAUUUAGAAAGAUCAUCUGGAAAGUCACUUUGAGUGGCAGGUGGCAAGAGAACAGAGUGCAAAAGAAGGCAAGAAGGAAUAAGAACUUUUAUAUUUAUGCUUGCUUGUGCAAAUUAUACAAACCAUCAUGGAAAUGCCUGACGCAACGACUGGCACCCAGUAGAAUGGAUGACGUCUUAAUGCGCCUUUGUCCCAUGAGCUGCGUGGCCCUCAGGACAUCGAGCUGAUUCCCCUCCUUCCUGAGGGUCUCCCUUAUCCUGAAGGCCCUGGAUUCCAGAGGAGUCUCAGCAAGAGUGGCUGUCCAGAUGUGUGGGAAGUGCACUGGCAGAGGAUCAGGAGUCCAGCAAGGUACUGGGACAAAGCAGAAGACAAGAGUCUUGGCCAUGGAGAGAUUCCUGACCAUGUCUGCAGGCCUUUUCUCAGAAUCCUGCCAUCUGGAUAGACUUAGUGACUCCUGUUCUUCAGUAAGUCUGUCCUCUGCUCUAUAUGACAACAAAUUCUCCCGCUCGUCCCCUCCACUUUCUCUUCUUCCUCCUCCUCUAUCUCUCUCUCCUCCCCGUUCUUGUUGUCAUCAUGCCUUCAUCAUCAUCAUCAUCAUCAUCAUCAUCAUCAUCAUCACCAUCCUCCUCCUCCUCAUCAUCCUUGGUAACUCAUAUUGAGCAUUUACUGUGUACCAGACCUGUUCCAAGUGUUAUCUAAGAGAAUAAACCUCUUGCCCAAGAUUACAGCUAACUCAUGCAAGGGUUAGGACUCAAACUCAAGUCCGAUUGACCCAAAACCUGUGUUCUUGACUCCUGCCUCCCUCAGCCUCAGAGGCUCUGGGGAGAUGGGGUACCGCUGCACGCACGUUCCACCUUAAAAUCCUUCCACGAACUCUGCAGUGCCCGCUGUAGGCACACAGACCCCUCAGCCUGAUGGCCGGUGCUUCCCUCCGUCUGCACGGCGCCAGCCUUCACACUGACCUGUCUCUGUUUACUUUACACCUCUGAGAUACUAGCCCAGCCCUCCGCUUGGCGCACCAAGCAUUCACUGUGCUUUCCUAGCCUGACAUCUUUGCUGUAUGUUCUGUCCACCUGAAGUGCCCUCCCCCGGUCCACCUGUGGAAAUCACACCUUUCGUUUAAGACCUAUGUCAAGUGAAGAAGGCACAUGACAUUCUCCUGGAUUCCCGCCUCCCCCCACCCCCCUGCCUUUCAAACCUCAACUCUCUCUCUUCUUUGAACCUCCACAGCACCUCUUCUUUUCCUCUUGGGGUCUAAGGAAGAAGUGUAGGGGAGGAACUCAGGCUUUGGAAACAAGCACUCCGUGUUGAAAUCCUUUUCUAGCCCCUUGCUAGCUUUAUGAACUUUGGCAAGUUACUUAGCCUUUCUGAGUCUCUUAGGAUCUGUAAAAAGGAGAUCAUAGUAUGUACUUUGGGAAUAUGAGACCAUUCUCAUAAAAUGCCUUAUGUCCCUGCCACCCAUCCUGACUGCCACUUUGUUAUAUCUGCAAAAACCUUCUCUCUGAGGCAAAGAUGCUAGGCAGCCCACAGGCCUGACUUUCUACCCUUUAUCUUCCAAGGAAUAGAUCAUUUUUAGUGAUAACGGUAUUAAGAAAUGACGCCAUUGGCUGUUUUUACUUCUGUCUAGUCUACCGGGGCACUCAUUGCCCUCGUAGUAAUUUCCCGGCCUCCUCAUGUCUCAGUCCCCAAGUGCCUGGUGGGCAGCAACCUAGACAUGAAUAUCUGCCCCAUCAAGGAUGGAACUUCUAUCUCAAUGGGCUUGCCGCUGGUCUGUAUUGGUAGGUCAGAUAAAGGGCAUUACAGAGCAUGUGUGUGUUGGGAGGGGAGGAUGUAUGCAUACGUGGAAGGAAAGCAACCUGGUUCUAGUUAUGGAAUGCCUCUCACUCAUUGUGUGAUUCUGUCAAGUCUCUGCCCCUCUCUGGCCUCAGUUUCCCAUCUGUACAAUGGGAUGGUGGGACUCAAUCACUAAGCAAUGUCCACCUGAAUCAACCCUUAGGGUUUGUGAGUCUGUUUUAGGGAUGUUAGCUUGGCUUUGGAUGCCUCAUGGUGUUGGGGGAGGGGUGAUUAUUGAUGGUGGGUCAUCCUGCACCGGAGGAGUCCAGGAUAUGUGUGUGGGUAAGGGGGGAGGGACCAGGACCAAUCUAGGGGACCACUGAGGGGAUGUGUGACAUCUACCAAGGGACAGUCACUGGGAAUUCAGUACCACUCGGAAUUCUUGAAGACACUUCAGACAGCCUUUAUAGAUUACUCUAAAGGCAAACAAUUGAUAUUCAGUGAGUACCUACUGUGUACCUAUGUGAUGCUGAUAGGAGCUCUACACGUAUGUUUUUAUUUUUUUAUACAGAUAGUUGAGUUACUCCAACACUGCAUCUCAGGGCACAGUAUCAUCAUUGGUCCAAACAGCCUCUUUUGUUUCAUUUUUAUUUUAUUAGCAUUAUUUUUCUUUCCCACACUUUUGUCCCCUCUCCCACCCUCCCCUUACCUCAUCAUAAGGAUAUGUGUAUAUUUUUAAAAGUGUGUAGUGUGUAUGGUGAAUGUGUAAGCUUUUUUCUUCUUUUUUUUUUGUGAUGAAGAUUGGUCCUGAGCUAACAUCUGUUGCCAAUCUUCCUCUAUUUUAUGUGAGAUGCCGCCACAGCAAGGCUUGAUGAGCAGUGUGCAGGUCCGUGCCUGGGAUCCAAACCUGUGAGCCCCAGGCUGCCGAAGCAGAGCACACGAACUCAACCACUAUGUCACCAGGCCAGCCCCAGAAUGUAUAAGCUUUUAAUUUACAUAGAUGAUGCUGUGAAAUAUACCUCAUUCAGUUUCUUCUCACUUUACUCAACAUUUUAUUUAAGACUCUAUCCACGUCAGUGGAUGUACUUCUAGGUGACAUUUCUCACUGCCACAUGUCUCAGGGUGGAACCACUACAACUGUACUCUUCCAUUCUCCUAGGAAUGUGUAUUGCCUCCAGUUCCCAGAAGCAGUGACAGGACACAGAUCUUGUCUGCUACUCAUUGUUUUUUCCCCAGUGCUGUUGAAGGGCAGACACUUGCUGCUAAUGGAGGUAGUUUUAGGUGCUUCACAGUAUGACUAUGAGGAACAUGGAAUUAUAUACUAUAUUGUUUCAUGAAGAUCCUAUCAGUCUGGUGCCAGCAACUCAUCGUCAACCCUCUUUGCUCACUAAAUUUCCCUUUUUUAAUAGAUCAGAAGCAGGCCUCAGGCUAACGUAUUUGCAGGCAGCACACUCUAGGUGAAAUUUAAUUAUGUUGGAAAAUUAAUUAAAAUGUAAUUUAAUAAAAUGUAUUUAUUUAAAUGAUUCUUUCUAUUUUUAACAAGCAACUUUGGUUUUCUACUUAAAGAAGUGA